CGUCCGCCAGAUGACACUCUAUCCACUGAGCCAAACCAGCCAGGGCCAUUGGUUGAUUCUUGCAUGUGCCCCAACCAAAGAUCAAACCCGAAACCUUGGCAUCUCAGGACAACACUCUAACCAACUAACUAAACUACCCGGUCAGGGCCAAUGGUUUUUGAGGGUAAGCAUGUCUCUUAGUGAAGAAUCAUCUGUUAUCUGAAAUUCAGAUGGGACUGGGCACGCCAUUUCUAUUUGCCAAGUCUGCCAACUCUUCCUACAGCACUGCCAUUGGCUUUCGGUCUAGAAGGUAAUGGGGAGCCUGCUGGGUUGGCUGAAGGAAGCUUGCACCCCUGACCCAGAGAGAUGAAAUCAUGACGUUUGGCCAAUGUUGAGAGGCUGUUUGCGUGGCUUAGUGUAGUUCCCCAGGGAAAGAUCAAAGGUUCUGCCUGUGCUAUAAUGUCACAUCAGUAAGUAUUCUACCACACCGGCUGAGACACCCUAAAGCAUGAAGACUGGGUCCUAUUGCUGUGACCCCAGGGCUCCCACCCCAAGUGGCACACGGGAGCAACUUCGGGUUGAUUUCGCAAACCUGCAGACACAUUCCAAUCAUCACCACAUCCAAAUGUGUACAAGAAAAUGCUGCUUAUCAAGUGUCACUCAGAAGUGAGGUUUCAGUGUCUGACAUUUAAUGGAAGGUUUCAGUCUGCGUAAAGCAGCGACUCGUGUGGACCAGUUGCUCUGGUUAUGGAAACGCAAUCAAAAACAAAAUCUCCUGUCCACUUAGAAAAACUACACAAAGGUAGAUGAGAAAGAAAACAAUGAUACCUGCAUCACAGGCAACCCAUAAAGAAAUCGCACAAAAACCUCACCUUUCCCUAUAGCCAGGCCGAUACCACCCAGUACCCCCAUGCUCAUGAGGUCAGGAAGAACUUGUCCUCAAGCAAGACAUGCCAAUGCCCUAACACGCCUUACGUCUGCCUGGUGACAGGUGGCCGCUGUGUUUGCUGACUGCCCCUCCUCAUCUGUCGCCAGACUGAGAGCCCAGGGCCCCGCUCCUAUGCAACAUUCAAACGAAUACUGUAUUCACACAAUACUACAGGGGGGAUGGAGUACAGAAGCACAGUAUCUAGCCCUGCGCCCGCCCCAAAUCCAUAGCCUCCGGAGCACUGGGGUAAAUGAGUGUCAUGUGCUCUCUGGCCACUAGAUGGCAUUAUGCAUGCAGCAAAAGACAGCAAGUCCACCAGUGUCUAAGCUAGGAGAGAGAGUUAAGCAAUUUAAAGUAGUUCAUAUGCAAGAGAAACUCGCGAAGGCCAAUACUUUUGCUCACUGCUUCUCCCAGGUAAGUGUGCUGCGCUGCAGGACUGCCUGGGAAAUGCGCCCCGUUACGGAAGUCUAAUAAACCUGUAGGCUCCUCUGGGGGUAGCACACAAGCGUCCUUCUGCAGUCCGUCCUGAGCCUUUCCUAGACACGGUGCUGCGCUUUGGAGGAAAGGAUCCCCGCCGAUGGGCUUACAAAGAGCACACUCAGCCUGGCGUGGGCUGAUUUUAAGAAGAGAUGUUGGCUUUUUCUGCCAACGUGGGGCCUAGGUUGCCGUGGGGGUGGUCGUGACAAACACUUAAAUCUAAAACCAACACAGCCUGUAACACACAGGCCAUCAAAGACAGAAAAUGCCAAGGCUGACUGGGAGAUGGGUUCGUUCCCACGUGAGGUGGGGGCUGGGGAGACCUGAGCAGUGUUAGAGGGGAGGGCGUCCCAUGAACAUGAAUAGGUCAACAUAGAUCAGCUGACAGAGACCUCACACAAGUGGGGGUACCACUAUUUGGGAAACGACGCACUGGACACAGCAUAGGGUGUGGGUGAAGAGGUGGGUACGGGCCACAGGCUAAGAUUGUGGGAGCAGAAUCUAGUCCAGUGAUGGCGAACCUAUGACACGCGUGUCAGAGGUGACACGCAAACUCACUUUUUUUGGUUGAUGUUUCUUUGUUA